CCCUUAGAUGUUCUGGGCUGCACGCGUGCUACACUGAUAUUGCCAAUAUGUCAUUCUUAUCCGAAAUGGAUUGGGUAAUCAAGUAAUGAAAUUUCAUGCUUGGAAUCGGUAAUUGCAAUUUUAUCGUGAACGAGGAAUUCCUAGUAAGCACUAGUCAUCAGCUAAUGUUGAAUAUGUCCCUGCCCUUUGUACACACCGCCCGUCGCUACUACUGAUUGGGUGUUCAAGUGAGAUGCUUAGACCCUUGUUGCAUGGUUCAUUAUUGUGCUCCGAAAGGAAAAAGUUUCAAGCUUGAGUGUCUAGAGGAAGUAAAAGUCGUAACA
rnacentral:rRNA from 1 species